GGCCCAUUCGUCUAACGGUUAGGACGCAGCCCUCUCAAGGCUGUAAUAGCGGUUCGAUUCCGCUAUGGGCUA
rnacentral:tRNA from 1 species